rnacentral:lncRNA from 1 species
GUGACAUUGCCAACCACAAAUAAUGUGUUCUCCUUUGAGCUGUAAAACCCGGGAGGCAGCAGCAAACGGAGAGACCUACCCAGCCCGGGAAAAAAACAAACAAAGAGAGACCUUACUGGUGCUGUUUACACAUCUGUGUGGAGGACUAUCUGGGCUUGUGUGUUUUGACAUCGCGCUCAAAUGGCUGCACGGCUCCUGUCUCAGUGAAACGGUCUGCCUCCUGGACCUGCCUGACCCUGACCUGAUUAUGUACCUCUGUCUGCCCUGAACCGAGCCUGCCUCCUGGACCUGGGUGACCCUGACCUGAUCACAAACCUCUCUCUGCGUGACCCUGAUCCGAGCCUGCCUGCUGGCCUGUACCUGCGUGACCCUGACCUGAUUAUGUACCUCUGCCUGCCCUGACCUGACCCGAGCCUGCCUGCUGGCCUGGACCUGCCUGACUCUGACCUGAUCACAAACCUCUCUCUGCCUGCCCUGACCCGAGCCUGCCUGCUGGCCUGGACCUGCUUGACCCUGACCUGAUUAUGUACCUCUGCCUGCCCUGACCCGAGCCUGCCUGCUGGCCUGGACCUGCUUGACCCUGACCUGAUUAUGUACCUCUGCCUGCCCUGACCCGAGCAUGCCUGCUGGCCUGGACCUGCUUGACUCUGACCUGAUCACAAACUUCUCUCUGCCUGCCCUGACCCAGAGCCUGCCUGCUGGCCUGGACCUGCCUGACUCUGACCUGAUCACAAACCUCUCUCUGUCUGCCCUCAAUCUGCUCUUUGCCUGCCCCGUGUUUCUAAUAAACCAUCUGAGAACUGUACU